UCAGAUAAACACAUUGCACCUCGCAGGUCCCAAUGACCUCAACUUGUUUCAACCCCUCGAUACCUCGGCCUCCGUGCAACCUCCGCUCAGUGAUUUGACGCUUAAAUUGGUCCUUUUCUACAAUGCGAAGGCUGGCCGUGACCACAGCUGCAGUGAUUUGACCCCAGUUCAACCGGGACGAGUCCAACUGGACGGCAGGUA